rnacentral:rRNA from 1 species
GAUGAACGCUGGCGGCGUGCUUAACACAUGCAAGUCGAACGAAGCAUUUUAGCGGAACAUUUUCGGAUGGGAAGUUAAAAUGACUGAGUGGCGGACGGGUGAGUAACGCGUGGAUAACCUACCAUAUACAGGGGGACAACAGUUGGAAACGACUGCUAAUACCGCAUAAGCGCACAGUGCCGCAUGGCACGGUGUGAAAAACUCCGGUGGUAUAUGAUGGAUCCGCGUCUGAUUAGCUAGUUGGUGAGGUAACGGCCCACCAAGGCAACGAUCAGUAGCCGACCUGAGAGGUGACCGGCCACAUUGGGACUGAGACACGGCCCAAACUCCUACGGGAGGCAGCAGUGGGGAAUAUUGCACAAUGGGCGAAAGCCUGAUGCAGCGACGCCGCGUGAGCAAAGAAGGCCUGGUUGUAAAGCUCUGUCUGGAGGGAGAAGGAAGUGACGGUACGUCCGGAGGAAGCACGGCUAACUACGUAGCCAGCAGCCGAC